GACGCGCAGCCGGGGAGGCCCCGGAGCCCGGGAGGCGGCGGAAUAUAUAAAUGAAUAAAUGCACCGCCCAAGCCGGCGGCGGAAUAUAUAAAUGAAUAAAUGCACCGCCCAAGCCGGAGCUCCCGAUCGCCAAUCCGCCCGCAGCAAGUUUGUUCAACUCGAAAGGCUGUAACCAGAGCCAGGGAAAGGGGGGUGGGGCGCUGAGGCCCCGCUCCCUGAAGACUGGAAAAAGGAGGUCCAGCCUUUUAGGAGAGACGGAUACCUACCUGCCUGAUGGAAUUAGCCAUGAAUAUCACCCAAUAGGCACAUUCAACACAAAGCCACCUUCUAAAUAUGGUCUUAACCCAGAGCUUCAGAGGAAUCUGAUGAUCUGAUGAACAGGUUUAACUGAUUUGAAACAAUAGGUGAAGCAAGACUAAGCUUUGAACAAAGAAAACUUGUCCUGAAGUGCUAAUAGACUUUUUUUAAAUGGGGAUACAUAAAAGAUAAAGUUUACAGUACAAAACCGGCAACAAUUGACAAAUUGAGGGUGCACAAAUACCGAAUGAAAUGAUUCUUGAUGUUUGCAAUUCCAUUGCUUUGUGUUAUCAGCAGUGCCUGGACCAGAGCGGUCAUCAGUUUGAAAACAAGCAUUGACAAAAAAAUUAUUCAUUUCUGUAGAUUUUUUAAAUUUUGAAAAUGAACUUUAGGUUAAUAAACACUGACUUUAUAAUCAUUCAAAGUGUGUAUACAUUUCUUUGGGACACCUUAUAUAGCAACAGGCUCCUUCUACUUUCUGGCUUUUGGUUGCAUUUAGUCAACAGAGAGGCCCAAGGGAGCAAAAUAAGAUAGGAUAUUUCCCUCUCCUGGUGUCAUCCCUACCAAGAUUCUCCAAGGGCUAGCGGGGCUGGAUUUGUCACCAACUGUAUUCGUCAGGGUAAGUCACAGAAACAGAACUACAGUGUUUCUCUGGCUAACCCUGAUGAAUAUAUAAACACUAGAGGCCCGGUGCACGAAUUCGUGCACGGGUGGGGUCCCUAGGCCUGGCUGGUGAUCAGGGCCAAUUGGAGCCGUCUCGCCCAGUCCUAAUUGGGGCCGGGCUAAUCGGGGCUGGGCCGAUCGGGGCCUGCUGACCAGAGGGAGGGAUGGGGGGAGGGACUGCAGGAGGUUGGCCAGCCGAAGAAAGGGACCAGGG